GUGGGAGGGGGCUUGCUCCCGAUGGCGGUGGUUCAGUCAGAACAUUUUUGACUGAUACACCGCCAUCGGGGGCAAGCCCCCUCCCAC
rnacentral:misc_RNA from 1 species